AAAACUUUCAACAACGGAUCUCUUGGUUCCGGCAUCGAUGAAGAACGCAGCGAAAUGCGAUACGUAAUGUGAAUUGCAAAUUCAGUGAAUCAUCGAGUCUUUGAACGCACAUUGCGCCCCCUGGUAUUCCGGGGGGCAUGCCUGUCCGAGCGUCAUUUC
rnacentral:rRNA from 1 species